UCAGCGGCUAUUGGCUGAAGGAGCAGAAGGAGCUCCCGCAACAGUACUGAUGAAAUCCUUUGUGAGGUGUUCUCCCCUCAGCAGAGCUGUCAUCAGUAGCAAUGUGUGACCUCUGGAUGCUACGUCCUCAUAAAAGGCUGCCUCUCUGUGGAAGCUGGUGCCUGAUCCUUUUUACCCAGGAAACAGAUGCUCCUUGUCUCUGGAUCCUAAGUCUCCAGUAAGGACUCAACCACGCCCUGUGUGCUCCACAGGGUUUCCCACGGGGUCCUCCAUGUGCUUCCAAAAUACAGACAAACCACAUUCCCUGAG